rnacentral:rRNA from 1 species
GACGAACGCUGGCGGCGUGCUUAAUACAUGCAAGUAGAACGCUGAAGGCGGAGCUUGCUUCUCUGGAUGAGUUGCGAACGGGUGAGUAACGCGUAGGUAACCUGCCUGGUAGCGGGGGAUAACUAUUGGAAACGAUAGCUAAUACCGCAUAAGAGUAGAUGUUGCAUGACAUUUGCUUAAAAGGUGCAAUUGCAUCACUAACAGAUGGACCUGCGUUGUAUUAGCUAGAUGGUGAGGUAACGGCUCACCAAGGCAACGAUACAUAGCCGAACUGUGAGGGGGAUCGGCCGCACUGGGACGGAGACACGGCCAAGAGGCCUACGGGAGGGCGCAGAAGGGAAUCUGCGGCAAUGGACGGAAAUCUGGCCGAGCAACGCGACGUGAGUUAAGACGGUUUUCGGAUCGGAAAGCUCUGUUGUGAGAGAAGAACGAGUUUGAGAGUGGAAAGUGCACACUGGGACGGUAUCGUACAAGAAGGGCCCGCCAACCUCCGG